GGUUGAUCCUGCCAGCAAUCAUAUGCUUGUCUCAAAGAUUAAGCCAUGCAUGUCUAAGUAUAAGUGUUUAUACAGCGAAACUGCGAAUGGCUCAUUAUAUCAGUUAUAAUCUACUCGAUUGAUUCUGUUACUUGGAUAACUGUAGGAAUUCUAGAGCUAAUACAUGCGAAAAGUCUGGACCGGGGGCAACCUUGGGAAGGAUGCAUUUACUAGAGGAGAAACCAGGGUGGGGCGUUAACUUGCGGGCAACCGUAGGGUCCCAUUACAACAGAUGAAUCAUAGUAAGUUCAUG
rnacentral:rRNA from 1 species